UGCUCCCGUGGCCUUGCUCCCCUGCUCCCGUGGCCCUGUUCUCCUGGCCCUGCUCCCGGCAGCCACACUGGGACCAUGGCAGCUCCACGCCGCGGGAAGCAGCCACACCUGCUUCUCCAUGCCGCUGCUCUCUGAAGGCAAUGCUGGGCUCCAGUGCCACUUCUUCCCCAAAAACCAGAGGUAGCCCCGCUGCAGAACUUGUUCGACAUGAACAUCAGCCACUGAAAGGGCCGCGAAGGAGGGGGGAAGGAACGGGGCGUGGGAAAGGACUUCGGGAGCCCCCACUGAGGUGUCAGGCAUGUGCCGGCAUCCCCUGGGCCUUCGCUCCACUGCUGGCAGCGUGAGAGGGGCCAUUUGUGGCAUUUAUUUAAAUACUUGACUACAAGGCAUGGCACAUAAAAGGACCACUAAAUUUUAAUUUUUUUCCCUCAGCUGUGACAGUUCAGGAGUUAUGCCUGUCAAGUUGCUCUUGGGUAGAGCUGGUUGAACUCAAUAGAGUGUUUUCAGUCAGCAAAUGUUGAUUAAUACCAAAAUGUUUGUGGGAAUUUUUCCGUGUCAGCAAAGUUCCAAUUAGGAAGCUCCCUGGUUUCCUGUCAGCUUGCUUGGCUCCGUGGCUGCCUCGCUGGUGGGCUGCUGCAGAGCUGGGCCUCCAGCAGGUCAGUUCGUGGUGCUUUGACAGCCUGCUAGGAGAGAUGCCUGGGACUUCUGGGAGCUGGAGAGGUGGGACUAGAGCUACCCACAGAAUUUCGUUCAGCUUAUUCUUGAGUGUUAUGAAAAUGUGACAACUGUGGAAAAAAAUUAGUAUCUAAGGUUUUCCAUUAGGAUGUAAAUCUGUUUCUUAUAAAAAGUUGCUGUUCUUUGUGAUAAAAAAUGACAUUUCUUCUUCAGGUCUGUUUCUACUCCCAAAUCAGUUAAAGCAGCCAGCAUCUAUCUGACUGCUGCACCAUCUCUGUUGACUCAAUUGUAUUCUUAGGAAACACCUUUCAGCUGUUGAUAAGGGUUUGAACAAAGGAGGUGUCUGCAGCUAGUUAGAGCAGGAUUUCUACCACUUCAAAGUCCUUUACCUGGUGGGAUGAUGAAAAUCGAAUCGAGAACAUUCAUAGGGAGUCUUCUCUGUAAAAAUUUGAAUAUAGUUGUUUGUGAGAGCUGUUGUUCCAUAGUGAAAAAAUCAGUGCCCACAGUAUGGGACCAGAACGAAUAAUUACCUGCCAGUCUUCUAUGAAUUCAAAAACUGCUGUCAUGUGUCCUAGAAUAAUGACUACAUAUGUAAUGUACCUUGUUACUAAAUGUUUACCUCUAAUUAACGAUUUAAGUUAAUUUUGUACUAACCAUAAGAAUUCUAUAAAAAAAUCCAUGGGUUAAGUUUCUGUCAGAACUGUUUAGCUCGUAUUCUAGAGAAAUAUGUGUCUAUAUAGAAAACUUGUGUUGCUAACCUUAAAAUGGUUCAUUACAGGAAAUUGCACUCUAAACCAUGUAGCUUCUCUACCCAAACUGGUUCUUUUUGUCAUCAAGCCCUUAUUCAUGCAAUUUCUAAAAUUGCAAAAUUAGGAUGGCUUGAUGUACUGAAAAAUCUUCAAAGAUAUUAUUGCUGAUGCAAAAAAAAAAGUAUUGGAGGUAAGAAACAAUUGUUUGCUUCUGCCUUUUUUUGUUGUUGUCUUUUUUUGUUUGGACCUCUUAAUUUAUAGUUAUUGGAAUGUUAUGUUGCUUGAUUUGAUACUGGGAUGGAAAAAGUGUGAAGUGCAUUGCUUGAGACAGAUUGUCUGUUGAGGAAGGACCAGGGUGGGUUUGCUGCCUAUGUGAGGUUGUGGGGUUUGAUGCCUCACAGAAUUCAUAGUGCUGUCUUGGCUUUUUCUCAGUUUUGUUUUUCAGAUCACUCCUUUAUAGAGUGGUUGUGAAACAACAGCCCUUGUUGUCAAGCCAUUCUGUUUAAUGCCUUCAUUUUUCGUCAGCUCCUAUAGAAACACAUUCCUGAUACAUGUCUAUGUGAAGGUUCAGCCUUUCUCAACUUCUGAUGAGCAAAAGCAAUGGGAAAUUUUAAGUUAUUUGGCAAUUUACUUGCAUGAUGAUCCAUUAUGUGUGUAUGUGCUGGUGAUCCUGGUAACUCAGCAAGGAAAUACAAAGUUAACAGUUUUUGUUUCUUGCCAGUGAGUUUCUAGUUUUCUUUUCAGUCUUACUUUGUUUGUAAUACUGUUCAAGUUAAUGUACUUUUUGAGUUACUUUGGGAAUGUCUAAUAAAAGAUAAGUUGCAAUAAGUGUGUUUAUUAAAAACAAACUCAAGUACACUUCUCCACCAUUUUGCAGUUAUUUUUAUGAAUGUACUGUAAUUGGAGUUUGCAUUUAUUAUUAAAAUGAUUGCAGUGUGACUCUUCAGUGUGCAGCUCAUUAAAAACAGUGAUUUAAAUACAAAAUAUAGUUUCUUAAGAGAUUUCUUUAGUUAAAUUAAGAAUUUCUGCAGAAAAGAAAAUUAAGUCAUAGAUCUAGUGAAUUAAAUUUUAUAUAAAAAUUGAAGAAAUAAUCCCUAAACAAUACUAAUCUAUGUAAUAAUUAGCAUAUUGUAGUUUCAAGUAUGUAUAUCUCAGCAUUCUGGACUGAGGUUCAUCCAGUGUGAAUUUGGGUGUGAUUUAUUACUGGGAAAGGGAUUAGCAGCCAGGUCUGUAGUUCUUUAAUUCAUAAUUCAGCAGCCAGGGUUUCACACCUGGCGAAGGAGAGGGUGCAUUUUCCUUUUUUGCAUGUGUGUAUGACCUAAGGAACCUUCCAAUGGACUGUUCACAGGAUGUGAAAUAUAAAAGGCAGACAGAGCACCAAUGUCACUUUUGCCUGAGAGCUCCCCUAAAUUGUCUCUCCUCACGUGCUUUGGUGCAGGUAACAGGACAAAACAGAGGACAGUGGGAGGUCAGGCUCCUUGGGCAUUGUGGACCACUGUGUAACAAGAAUGGUUCUCUCAGAACUGACUCAGGAAAUGGAUCUGGUUGAUUGUUCAAGACCUUCAGCAAAGCCUUGUAAAAGAGUUACCUCAUUUCGUGACACCUCUCUGAAGGAUAUUCUGCUGCUUGUGUGCUCUUUUGAAGGAGAGUUUUCCAGAUGAUCUCUUUGAUGGAUGCCCAGUUACUCCAGUAAAAAAAUGAAGAUGUAGAACUGGCAGUUCUGUGGUUCUUGGAUCAGAGUGUGAGAGCCCAGCUUCAGCACAGCUCAAAGCAGGCCUGGUACAGCUGCCUCUCACCUGCGUGGGUAGAUGCCCACGGUCCGGAGCCUCACUUUUGCCAGCUCGUCUAACAAAAGCUGUGUGUGAAGGCGUCUGAGCUCCCUGUUUUGGUGCUUCUGUAAACACUUGCAUGCAGGCUGAGCUGUUGGUGUGCACUCUGCAGCUCAGAGGCAGCAGAAGGCAGCACUGGGUGGCUGCUGCUGCUGUAGCAGCUCACAAAGCAGCAGAUGGCACGCUGCCCUCACGGCUGUAAAUCCUCACAUACGGGUCCUGCUGGCAGCUCUCUGCACACUGGCCAUGAGCAGGAUCAUGCCUGGAAGCAGAAAAGUCAGGAAUACAUCAAAUGAUUAAGUUAAUACACAUUUAUAUAAAUAUUCAGGAUUGCUCAGAUUGUUUUAUUUGUGGAAAGAAUAAUGGAAAUUUUGCGUGCUUCAGCCACGUUGUAAUGAUUUUGUUUGCUCAUAUGCUUGCAUACAGACAAACAGAAAAUGGUUAGAGAACAGUGAAGAGUCUAAUGAAAAUGUAGAACAAGUCUUCUAUAUAAAAUACAGAUUUUGUUCAUUAAUUAACUCAUAUUCUUAAGCAUGUGCAUGUAAUAAAAGCAAGCUCAUUAUAGAUAAAGAGAACUGGCUAGGUAAAUGAAUGCAUUUUUAUUAACCAGUCCACUGGGGCUUACUGUCUGAGGAAGGAGAGCAAAACCUCGGAGAUUUCUUCCACGAUGCUGUAAUACACUUUUAGUGCCAUAACUAUUCCUGUACAAAAGUAGUGCAUCAAGAUACAGUCUAUGAAUGAUUAUAUACAUAUUAAAUUUCUGCUGGACUGGACUCUCUGGUACCGUACAGGACUGGUAAUACUGGUCUAUCAAUUGUCUGUCAGUACAUAUUUUAAUGCUGGCAUGACUUAGUUUUCAUAGUGUCACUGUUUUGUGGUGUAUUGCUGGUUUGGAUGCUGGCAGGGUAGGAGGAAGAAAGUUGUCUGGAGAAGCGGUGCUGCUAAGCACAGCAGACAUUUGCCCUUGGAGGGAGAAAAAGCAACAGGAGGGUUUUGUAGCCUUCCCUAGAGCAGUACAUUGUGCAGCGAUUCCAGAUUCUCCUGGGACAGGCUGGAGCAACAACCCGUGGGAUGGGCAGGGUUUGGCUGUGACUGCCCCUAAGUGGCCAUUAGACAGUGCCAAGCGUCAUUAAAAUUGUUAAGUCUUGCCAAUUGAUGUAUCAAAGGAAAUGCAACUGAGUGAAGAUAGUUACUGAAAUUUCUUCAGUUCACUUAGAAUUGUUAACUUAAGUUUGACACUAAGGCAGCUUUAUACUUGGGAGUUCUGGCACUUGUAAAGGUCAGGUUCCACAUGUACACUCUGAGUGAUUGUAAAAAAGAGAUUGCUUUGGCUGAAGACUUUUCUCUUGAGGGUGCAUUAAGAGUUAUUCUGGGAGAGAAAAAUAGUUCUAGUUCUUGAAAAAUAUAGGGGUAGAGACAUAAAGUUCUUUUUAUUGUUAGUUCCUUUGCAUCUUGUUUUCCUGGGGAAUGCUUUUAGCCGUUAAGUAUUUUGUGAUUGCACAGAGAGCCAUUCAGUGGUCAGCACAGGGAGGCAGGAGUACACGAGGAGGUGCCUGUGGUUUCCAGGGGGCUCGGUGAUGCUGCUGUGCCUGUUCCAGUGCCCGUGCCCAUGGCCCUGCUGCGGUGCAGUUUGAGCAGAGCUCAGUGGGGACGAGCACAGUGGGCCGUGAACGUCACCACAACCUUCCUAGAGAGCUGCGUGUGCAGGGCUGGUGCUUGCUCUGCCUGUUAAAAGGUGGGGUUUUAUUAAAAUGCACUUAGGCAAGCUCUUUACUGUGAGGUGAUUACUGCUGGGAUCAUUCUCAUCCAGCGGUAGCUGAAUAAGUUCCGAGGAAUCUUGGGGUGCUCAAUCUGUCCCGGGCACUGCAGUCUGGGGGAACCCUCUGGAAGUGAAGAUACCUGGCAAUGGGGUUCCAGCAAGCCAUGCUUUUACUUUACCCCAGCUUGAACUGGCAGUGAUAGGGACCAAGCGUGGGAGAGCAGGAGUGAAAAUCUUGGCUGCAGGGUUUCUGGGAGCAGCCUCAUGUCCACAUGGAGAGAUGCAGUCACUGCCUAGCACUGGAGGGAUGUCGGUCACACAGUCUGGGAACCUGGGCUUUUAAACUUGGCAGAUCUGCAUUAUCAUAAAAAGGUAUCUCAAGGGUUAAGAAUUUAGACUGCAGUGCGUUUAGAGUGGAGGACAAAAAUCGUUUUCUUGCUGGAUUGUGUUUGCAGCAGCUGAAAGCCAGCCGUGUGUAUAGCCAGGUGCCAGCAAAGCACUGAGCACUGGCUUGUCCUCUCACCUGGAAGGGGGGUUCUAUUGACAUGUUAUUUUGAGAUUUCUUCAGUAUGUGUGUAUCUCUCUUAUCCCAGUGCCUGCAGACACAAAGCAUGACCUAGCAAAAAGGAGAAAUGCACUUAUUGUGCAAUGUGUGACUGCUUUUCCCUGUGCAAUACGAGAGCUGAGAUCCGCAGCGGUCCCGCUGCCUUCAGUGGGAUCCUUGCGGGUGGAGGGGCUGAGCUGUGAGUGGCUCAGCAAAAGCUCUGGGCUCUGGCAUCUCCAUGAUUAAUGAUAUCUUAACCCUUAUGAAUGAUUAUCCUUUCCUGGCUGUAAAAUACAUACACUGUUUUAUUUCAUUACCAUGAGGUGAAGAUCCAACACUGACAGGUGCUGGGAAUUAGCAGGCAGUUUUGAAAUUGUUCUGUGCACUAGAAAUUAGAUCUCAUUUUAAUUCAGCUUUUCCAAACUAGUAAAUGAGGUUAAUGCCAUACAUAUUCAGCUGAUAUGGAUGAAGAAAUUGAUAUAAAGUAGAUCAACAUAGCUACAGGGCUACUUUAAUUUAUACGUAAAGAGGCAGUGAUAAAUGAAAGUAAUGUAGUAGUGGUCACUAAACUCCUCAGCCAUCAGGGAUUCAAUAGUGUUAGCUGCUCAUUAAAGACAUGGUUGGGGUUACUUCAAAUAGAAAUUUGAAAAGAAAUAGCCAACUAACCCUUAAUUAUCAAAACAUAGAAAAUACUAAUUAUGCCUUAAUUAGCUUUUCUUUUAAUGUACUGAAAUUGUUACUUUUUGUGUAGCACAAAUGGAUAGUUAUAUCAACAAUAAAUAGGUUGUUUUAAUAACUUUCUUUCACCUCUGGGAAAACCACACUCCAAUUUUUAAUAUGCAAUAAUGCUUCUCUCUAGCCUGUAGGAGAUGAAAAUUAUUAAGUAGCUUUAUUUUUUGAAGAUCUUACAGCAGCUUUGGGAAGAAUUAUUUCACUAUGCAUCAAUUAUUUUUAAUUGAACUGAAUAUAUUUCAGAUUGCAUGAAAUGCCUCUCAUUUAAGUUUAACAUUUAGAGUUUGUUAAGGAAAUAUCACAGUGAGAAUUGGAUACAUCUUAUUUCUGUGGCAUAUUCUAGGAAGAAUAAAAAAACAUUGUUUCAGAAGAAAAAUAUUGUCACUGGUAUUUUUUCCUUCACUGGGUCAAAUCUCAUUUUUACUCUGUUUCAUAGCUCCCACACUGUUCUUAUCCAAUAUUCCUGCAGUUCACAUAGGAAAAGAAAGCCGGGGUUGGCUUUGGUGGGUCUGGAUCCUCUGGUGCUGUUGCACAAUUCCUGUCCCAGUGAGGCCGGUGGAGCCUGCCCCUGUGGAUGUGUGCAGGAAGGAAUAGCCAGCACAGCUGCCUGUGCUUUAGCAGACACAUCAGCUUUGUGAUUUCCAGCUGUGGGAUGGUAGGGAAGCACUGACUAGCGCUGGUCAUGAAAAAUCCACGUUCUCUUGACAGCCCCCACUGAGUUAAAUAGAAGGUAAGUGCUAGUACAGAAGUCAAAAUAAGUAGUUCUUGGUAACAAAACCUUGGCAAACUUUAAAUCACCAUGCCUGUCCUUUAACAGCUUUCGGAAAAUUCUUUAUUGAAUGUCUCCAUUACCUGGAAGUUCUAUACAGCAAACACACCAUCAGGACAUAGAGACAAACAUGCAAAACUUUGUGGAAUCAUAAACACUGGGUUCCUCAUUAGGUUGAGGAAUCUUUUCUCAGAUUUUAGAUUAUAUACUCCUGCCUUCCUCCUUCUUUUACAAUGAUGUUUAAACCAUUCAAGUCCUGAAAACGUUUUCUUUUUGUCUGUCUCACUCGUUACCUUUGGACUCCUUGCUCAUGCCAACUAAGCCUGCAUGAAUCAUUAUAGAGAUAUUCUUUACUCACAUUUGCAAUUAAAGCACUGGUUUAAAUGCCAUGCUAUUUUAUUUUAGAAUUUUAUAGCAUGAAUCAGGCAAUACUAAAAAUAAAUAUUAAGCACAGUUCAGUUCUUCACUUGGCUGUAGCUGAGCUUUAUUUUGUAGCUGCUAAUAAAGGCACAUUAUCAUGUUCAGGGAUUGCAAUUAUCACUGAAAUGUGUAUGUCCAUUAACUGCAGCAUUAGGCUGAGGGUAUAAUUACUGUCUAGAGCCAAUAUCUGUGUGUAGUUAUGUCUAUGAUGCUAUUAAGUUAUAAGCAAUAUUUGUAAACUAAUAUUUAAACAUUUCAGAAUUGAUUCCAUCAUUUGUGGACUUAAAAUCUAAUCCUAAUUCCACUCCAAGUUAUUGAUGAUUUAAAUGUUUGGCAGAUAUAUUAUUGAGUUAUUUUGAUGUGAGUAUAAUUUGUGAUGUGAGAGAGAAUACUGUUUUUCUGAUAGCAAGUACCCAGAAUGAGCUGAGCGCUUGGCAGGAGGAGAGAGAAGCUGUGGUAGCAACAAAAUGCUGCUAAAAUAGUGGUACAGUGUGUCCCAAAACACUGCAAACAGGAUGAAUUUUUCUUAGACUUACAUUUCAGACAAUUUAGUACAGCAAUUUAACUACAUAAAAACCUGUUGCAUGUUGAGAGGACAAGAAGGAAAAUACUUGCCUAAUAAUAUCACAAGUGUGUUUUGAAGAGGAAUGAGGUUGAGUUUGUGCACUGAUUUGCUUUUGGAAAAAAUCUGGUGUUUCUGUUGACAGAACGUGAAACUGCCUGUGAAAUUAGGUGGAUAGUUCAUUUGCAAAACUAGUCUAAGUCACCUGUCAGUAAUUCCACAGGUGUGGAGAUGUUUGCAUCUGUAAUGAAUGUGUGACCUUUUGCAACAUUUUGUUUUAUAUGCAAAAUGCACAUAGUAGUAAUCGACUUUUAAGUGCUUGUGUAAAUUAAUUUUCUGUUGUAUUUCCUUGGCAGGUGAGCGAUAGCCACCCCUCUGGUUAAUUUGGUUACCUGUCUCAGUAAUGGGUAGUUAAGGAAUGCUGUUUGGCAGUAAAUGUUAAGAGAAUCAGUCUUUCAGCAUUUUACAUCUUAUUUUGAACUCAAGUGUGUUUCAGAUUUUUCUAGGACAGAGGAGCUACUACAUUGCUUAGUGAUUUUUAUCUGGUGCAGAUAUAGUUGAUAGAUACCUAAUUGAAUUUCUCUUCCUGCUUUACAACAGUUCUUCUGGAUUCAGCUUUCACGUGUGUCUGCUUCGUGGCUUUCCAGCCUCAGCUCUGUCUUUGAGGGCCACACUUGGUUGUUCUGACACUGUUUACAUUUGCUGUCCACAUCACUAAAUAUGACUUUGUAUUUAUUAGAUUGUUUAUAUUUUUUAUGUUGAUUAUGCUCUUUGUUUCAAAAUCCGUGUAUUUCACCUCCAGCAGAUUCUCUUCUCUGAGUAACCUCUAACUGUUGGAGCUUUCCACUUGUGCUGCGUGUCCCAAACCAACUUAGCAAGAAGGAACAAGUAGCAAAUAGGACAUCUUGGGGUGAAAAAAACCCCAGAAACCCAGGCUAACUUAUGAAUUACUCAUCUAAAAUAUAUUGGUUUUGUUGCAGUAUGCUGGCCUUGUAUCCUCAUUAUUUAAAUAGCUUAAUGAAUUAACUUAACUGACCUUACAGUAAGUAAAUUAACCAUCAGAGUUCAGAGCAGAGUGAAUAAUUCUUUAAUAUUAGACUACAGCAAUUUUUAUGAUUCAAGUUAAUUAUGAAAUUGCUUAUUGCAUAUUUGUGUCAUUCAAGGAGUAAAAAUGUGCAAAAUAACACAUCAUACAUAGGUACAUCUGUCAAAGAAAGAGCAAUCCAGUGAAGUCCCAGGGGGUUAGAAAAUUCUUCUUGAUACUGGGUGAGUUAUCCACUGACUCGAUCUUCUGGAGUGUGGCCCGGCUGGCUCAGUGAUGACGUUUCUCUUCACUUGACUUUCGAGCCAGCAUCUGUUUGUGGGGUUCACUGAUUUUCUUCAAGAAUCCAAGUCUAUAGAGCGAGUAAAGGAAACGGGGGGGGGGGACUCUCUCUCUCUCUCGUUUGCAUUCCACAGUUUAUUUCUGUGAAGGGGGAUCCAAAGAACGAGAGACCAAGGAUUUGGG